GUAGUCUCGCACAGAUGCAUAUCAAUAAGCGGAGGAAAAGAAACUAACAAGGAUUCCCUUAGUAACGGCGAGUGAAGCGGGAAGAGCUCAAAUUUGAAAUCUUCAAGGUUUUACCUUGACGAAUUGUAGUUUAAAGAAGUGUUUUCUGUUGAAGUUUUGGUAAAAGUUCUUUGGAAUAGGACAUCAUAGAGGGUGAGAAUCCCGUAUUUGACCAUUACUUUCAACUGUGUGAUACACUUUCGAAGAGUCGGAUUGUUUGGGAAUGCAGUCCAAAAUGGGUGGUAAAUUUCAUCUAAAGCUAAAUAUUGGCGAGAGACCGAUAGCGAACAAGUACCGUGAGGGAAAGAUGAAAAGAACUUUGAAAAGAGAGUUAAACAGUACGUGAAAUUGUCAAAAGGGAAGCGUUUGACACCAGUGUUGUUUUCUCGAAAAUCAAUUAAAAGAAUGUUUGAUUUAGUUGUUUAUUGACCUUAUCAGCUAAUGCAUUUCAGUUUCUGAGCUUUUCUUUAAUGCACUUUUCAGUUAACAAGUCAACAUCAGUUUCUUUUGUUGUAAAAAGGUCAUUGGAAGGUGGCUUUCUUUUCGGAGAAAGUGUUUAUAGCCUUUGACUCCUGCAAUCGGAGAGACUGAAGUCUGCAGCGUAGAUCCUUCGGGGUUAGAUACAUUUGUGCUAAGUUAUAACUUUUUAUAGACAACUUGUUGACUAUGAUUAGUCUUGUAGCUUACUCGCUUAUGCUAUUUUACCUACGCUUAGGAUGUUGAGCGCAUGUCUCUCUCU
rnacentral:rRNA from 1 species